UUAAAUAUUAAAACGCUACUAAUUAAAUAUUAAAACGCUACUAAUAAAAUAUAAAACACUAAAAAUAUAUAACCCUGAAUUCAUAGUGAGAGCGAUUGCGAUCGCGAUUUAAGCCGCGAUUUCGCAGCGACUGAUCAGCUGGAUCGAUCGCAGCGAUUUACAUUCAUAGUGCUAAGUAAGCGAUUAUAUUAAUUCACAAAAUGAGAGCCGUUAUAUUAUUUCUCUUAUACAAAAUAAUAUUGAAGAGGAGGAGAUUAAACAAUCUUAAUAUUAAUAAAAGAAAAGAGGGCGAAUUUUACAUUCUCUUUCCUAAACUCUUAAAAAAUAAGGUUAAAUUUUUCAAUUAUAUGAGGAUGACCAAAGAAACCUUUUAUUAUAUACUUGAGCAUGUAAAACCAAUAUUGCUUACAACAUCCACAAAUUUUAUAAAAUAUCCAAUAAGUGUUGAAGAAAAGCUAAUGGUUUGUUUAAGCUACAGGCUGUAGAUAUCCUACCUUAGCUUAUUCCUUCAAAAUGGGAAUAUCUACAAUCCAAAAAAUUGUUAGGACCACUUGCAAAGCUAUAUGGCAAACUUUGGUGACCCAACAUAUGAAUACAGCUAACAGAAAAUAUAAUACAAACAUGUACUUUACAUCCACUUUAAUUCACUUAUUUAAUCAACAAUCUAUUAAAUCAGCAACAUAUAUUUCAAAGUUUUAUAGAAAUUUAUUAUGUUUAUAUUUAUAUAA